ensembl:snRNA U6 U6 spliceosomal RNA
UGGUAUGUGAUACAGAUAUUUAAAGUUGGAAUAAUACUGGAAAGAUUACCAUUGCCCCUGCACAAAGAUGAUAUACAAAUUUGUGAAGAAAAAGAAAUGGUG